UGGGGAAUCUUCCGCAAUGGACGAAAGUCUGACGGAGCAACGCCGCGUGAGUGAUGACGGUCUUCGCAUUGUAAAGCUCUGUUAAUCGGGACGAAUGGUUUGUGUGCAAAUAGUGCAUAGACAUGACGGUACCGGAAUAGAAAGCCACGGCUAACUACGUGCCAGCAGCCGCGGUAAUACGUAGGUGGCAAGCGUUGUCCGGAAUUAUUGGGCGUAAAGCGCGCGCAGGCGGACUAGCCAGUCAGUCUUAAAAGUUCGGGGCUUAACCCCGUGAUGGGAUUGAAACUACUAGUCUAGAGUAUCGGAGAGGAAAGUGGAAUUCCUAGUGUAGCGGUGAAAUGCGUAGAUAUUAGGAAGAACACCAGUGGCGAAGGCGACUCUCUGGUCUGUAACUGACGCUGAGGCUCGAAAGCGUGGGUAGCAAACAGG
rnacentral:rRNA from 1 species